rnacentral:rRNA from 1 species
AAAUGAAUUGACGGGGGCCCGCACAAGCGGUGGAGCAUGUGGUUUAAUUCGAUGCAACGCGAAGAACCUUACCAGGUCUUGACAUCCAUGGAAGCCCUAUGAAAGUAGGGUGUGCCUUCGGGAGCUAUGAGACAGGUGGUGCAUGGUUGUCGUCAGCUCGUGUCGUGAGAUGUUGGGUUAAGUCCCGCAACGAGCGCAACCCUUGCUAUUAGUUGCUAACAGGCGAGCUGAGCACUCUAAUGGAACUGCCCGUGACAAGCGGGAGGAAGGUGGGGAUGACGUCAAAUCAUCAUGCCCUUUAUGAUCUGGGCUACACACGUGCUACAAUGGGUGGUACAGAGAGCAGCGAGACCGCGAGGUGGAGCGAAUCUCAAAAAGCCACUCACAGUUCGGAUUGCAGUCUGCAACUCGACUGCAUGAAGUCGGAAUCGCUAGUAAUCGCGAAUCAGCAUGUCGCGGUGAAUGCGUUCCCGGGCCUUGUACACACCGCCCGU